GAGGAAAGUCUAGAAGCCCGGGAGGACAUCUUUUGGGUGAAGGCAUCAAUAAUAGAACUACGGGAAAGGUGUACGGAAAGAAAGAUACUUGCCUUCUAAAACAGCAGUUGUUACAAUCUCUGAAUUAGUCCUCAUGCUCUAGUGUCUCGGCCGGCUUUGAUGUUUGGUUUUCCAGUUACCCACUUCCUUUCUUCAGCUCUAUUGUGGAGCUUCCCUGGAGCAGCUGUGCUGAGAAGGAAGAUGCUUCUUGACUCCAUUUUGGAAGAGUGGAGAGGCUGUCAUCCAGUCUUCUCUUUUCAGGAAGAUUUCCAGAGGCAGCAAUUCCACUCAACCACGUGUCUGUGUCCUAAGCGCACUCACACAGCAUCUUUACCGACUGGCUGGCAGGAAGGGAGACAGCUCUGAAGGAAAGGAUGUGGUUACUCUUCAAAACCCCAGUUCUGUUAAAGGAUUAAAAAAAAAAUGGUUGCAAAACACAUUCCCAUUACAGUUCAAUAGGUUUGAGCCCAUUGAAACAUGGAGUUUAUGAACAU
rnacentral:lncRNA from 1 species